GACGAACGCUGGCGGCGUGCCUAAUACAUGCAAGUAGAACGCUGAAAUAAGAGCUUGCUCUUAUGGAUGAGUUGCGAACGGGUGAGUAACACGUGGGGAACCUACCUUCUAGCGGGGGAUAACACAUAGAAAUGUGUGCUAAUACCGCAUAAUAGUAUUUGAUGCAUAUCAGAUACUUGAAAGGCGCAAUUGCGUCACUAGAAGAUGGCCCCGCGGUGCAUUAGCUAGUUGGUGAGGUAACGGCUCACCAAGGCAAUGAUGCAUAGCCGACCUGAGAGGGUGAUCGGCCACACUGGGACUGAGACACGGCCCAGACUCCUACGGGAGGCAGCAGUAGGGAAUCUUCGGCAAUGGACGCAAGUCUGACCGAGCAACGCCGCGUGAGUGAAGAAGGUUUUCGGAUCGUAAAACUCUGUUGUAAGAGAAGAACGUUGAUGAGAGUGGAAAGUUCAUCAAGUGACGGUAUCUUACCAGAAAGCCACGGCUAACUACGUG
rnacentral:rRNA from 1 species